AGGAGAAGAGGCUGUGCCCUGACACAGGAGAGUAGGGUGGGGAAAGUCAGAGAGGGCACGGGGAGAGGGCAAGGUUACAGACGGAGGAGGCAGGACACCCAGAGAUAGAGGCGGCGGACCCGGAGUACGACCAGGCACCCAAGACUGAGUCUUGAUUCAGGGACACGGCUGGGGAUUUGGGACACCGAUCCAGGCCCCUUCUCAGGCCCGCAAAGGCAAGGAGGCGGCAAGCAGGGGACCGAGUUGUCUGCACUCAGCUCAGCAAAAUCCGGAGAGAUGCUGUGAGCAACACCCGUGAGCGGCGGCUGGGAUCCCGGGCACGAUCCACAGUCCCGGAGAGCGAGGCACCGACACGCACACGCAUAAAGCAAGUCAGGGCGCCCAGCAAGAGCGACGGGGAACAGGAACCCAGCCAGGCUCGGAGAAGAAAGUGGAGGAAUAAACAGGAUCCAUCCAAGAAAGAAAUGGGAAGGGGAAAGAGAUUGUUUCAUCUACUCCACAAGAGUCCAUCCACAUCACACUUGUAGCAGACACUCAGCCAUGUGCAAGGAUCCAAAGGAGGUCUGCUUCAUCCUGACGCUCUUUCUUCAUGUCAUAGCAUGGCAUCAUGCUGGGACCACUUGCAACCUUUGUUCAUUCCUAGCCCAGGGGAAGGAGGAGCAGUAUUUCCCAGCAUUCUCCUCAGAGGUCCAGAUUCUCUGGAACUGAACCAGCUUUAGGUCACAGGUUAUCCCUUAACCAAGCUCUGUGGCCAGGAAGACUGACCAGCUUGGCCAAGGUCUCUGGCACUGGGGAGAAGCCAGUUUCCUGCAACCACCUGGAUGUUUUGUAGGGAUCAGGGUCUGAUGGGAGGGAGGGAACAGGUGCGAGAGAGGCAGCUACCAUUAUCCCAUGCUCUCACCUUGAUACUACAUGACCUUGGGCAAGUCCCCCAACCACGACUUUAGUUUUUUUAAUGUCAAAUAAAGAAUUCGAUGAGAUGUCCCCAAACUCAUCAGUUCCCAGAACCCUUCCUCCAUGUCUAAACAGAGCUUCCCAAUCCCAGCAGAAUCUACCCUGGGAGUUCUUGGCAUUACUGCCCUUUGGCCCGUCUUUGCUUCAAAGUGUCUGCUGCAUUUUUCCUCUAAGCAGCAAUGAUAUUAUUGGCUUCCUGCAUGUGACACACUUAACCACAGCCCUUUGGGGCCCUCACUCUGGUUCAGCUACCCCAGGGGCCACUGGCUGAAGGAGUGAGGUUAAGGAUCCAGGGCCCCAAGUCCCAGGAGAGAGAGUUGUUCAUCUCAACUCAUAAAAAAUCAUGCGAGAUAAAGGUUUAAAAGCUCUGGGCAGGUUAUGGAUGCCAUAAACAGCUUAUGUGAGGUUUUUAGGAUGAAAAAUCACCUGAGAUAGAAGAGCAGGAAGGCAAGCUUCUAGGGUCACCAAGACUAUCUUCUGGCCCUGAGACAGUCGGCCAGCACCGCGAUCAUCUUCCUGGAGCCUGAUGUGGAAGAUGGAACUGAGUACUGCCUGAGACUCCGUCCCCAGCCAUAGUAACGGCAGCAAGUUUCUUUAGAAGUCUUAAAGCUCAUUCAGUCAUUCAACAUAGAUGUAUUGACCCUUGUUAGGUGCCAGGCAUCAUGCUGGGCAAAAAACAAAAGUAGAUAUGAAGAAGAUUCUCCAAGGAAUAUUUCUUUUGAAAUAUGGUUCCUACUCUUGCAUGAACUGAGAAUCAGAGCUCUAAAGAAGUUCCAUCUGAUUUGGGGGAUUCCCUCCCUAUCCCAUCCCCAAAUCUUGUUUUGUCAUCAAUUUCAAGCAAAGGGAGAGUAAAUCAACAAGUAGAUUUGAGCUCCCAGGUGCGAGCGCUAAGCUAGGGAAACCUAGGGAAGAGAGUUCUUCACCCUCACAGAGCUGUCAAACAGGUUCCCAGCAGAGCUGGGAAUAAAAACUGAAACUUUUAGUGUCAAUUGUUCACCUUCUCUAUGACUCAGUUUCCUCAUCUGUAAAAUGGGAGAUAACGAUAGGGCCUUUCUCAUAUAUUUCUUAUAAGGAUUAAAUGAGAUAACCCAUGUAAAGAUCUUUCCUAUAUAGACUGGCACAUGAUAAGUGUUUAAUAAAUGUGAGGUAUUACUCAUUUCAUAAGUAACAGUAAGGAAGCGUCAACUAUGAGUGCCAGAAGAUAUCAGAGGGAAAAAGGGGUCAGUCAGGGAAGGAUGCCUGGAGGAAGCAGCACUAAAUCUAGUCCUCCAUUUUAAUAGAAAACUCCAAGUACCCCCAAGUGCAAGGACCUCUUCUCAUUUAUCUCUGCUCUCUCCACUAUUCUGCAUAGUGCAACGGACUGAGUCAACUUUGGGCAUGGAAUGAACACCUGUCAGUGGAUCUGAGCCCAGGACUUACAAGUUUACAGAAACCAUAACCAGCAAUUUUUUAGUUGUGUGGUUUUAAGCAAGUCAUUUAACACUACUGAACCUUAAUAUUACAAUAUGUAAAAGGUGAAGAAAAAUAAUACUGCCUAUGUCCUAAGGCUGUUGGGGGUCUGGGGAUUAUAUAUAACAGAGUGCCAUAUAUUUCAUAUAAAUGUUGGCACUGGCCAGUGGCAGUGUUGAAGGAAUAUCAGCCUCAUCACAGUGACAGGAUAGUCUAUAAAGAAAUGCCUUCCCCUUCCCUCUGUCAGCAGUCCUAACAGAAAGUACGUGACAGCUAGGGCAUGGCAUGCCUUCUGAAUUUAAAUAAACUUAUUUAAAUUUA